rnacentral:rRNA from 1 species
AUUGAACGCUGGCGGCAGGCCUAACACAUGCAAGUCGAGCGGAAACGACACUAACAAUCCUUCGGGUGCGUUAAUGGGCGUCGAGCGGCGGACGGGUGAGUAAUGCCUAGGAAAUUGCCUUGAUGUGGGGGAUAACCAUUGGAAACGAUGGCUAAUACCGCAUAAUGCCUACGGGCCAAAGAGGGGGACCUUCGGGCCUCUCGCGUCAAGAUAUGCCUAGGUGGGAUUAGCUAGUUGGUGAGGUAAUGGCUCACCAAGGCGACGAUCCCUAGCUGGUCUGAGAGGAUGAUCAGCCACACUGGAACUGAGACACGGUCCAGACUCCUACGGGAGGCAGCA